AGAGUUUGAUCCUGGCUCAGGAUGAACGCUAGCGGCAGGCCUAACACAUGCAAGUCGAGGGGUAACAGGUAGGAAGUUUACUUUCUAUGCUGACGACCGGCGCACGGGUGAGUAACGCGUAUGCAAUCUACCCUUAGCUGGGGAAUAGCCCGAAGAAAUUCGGAUUAAUGCCCCAUAACACUAUGGUAUCGCAUGAUACUAUAUUUAAAACCCCGGUGGUUAAGGAUGAGCAUGCGUGGCAUUAGUUAGUUGGUGAGGUAACGGCUCACCAAGACUGCGAUGUCUAGGGGGCCUGAGAGGGUAGUCCCCCACACUGGUACUGAGACACGGACCAGACUCCUACGGGAGGCAGCAGUGAGGAAUAUUGGUCAAUGGGCGCAAGCCUGAACCAGCCAUGCCGCGUGCAGGAAGACGGCUCUAUGAGUUGUAAACUGCUUUUAUACGGGAAUAACCAUAGCUACGCGUAGUUAUCUGAAUGUACCGUACGAAUAAGCAUCGGCUAACUCCGUGCCAGCAGCCGCGGUAAUACGGAGGAUGCAAGCGUUAUCCGGAUUUAUUGGGUUUAAAGGUUGCGUAGGCGGGAAAAUAAGUCAGUGGUGAAAUCCUGCAGCUUAACUGUAGAACUGCCAUUGAUACUGUUUUUCUUGAGUAUAGUUGAGGUAGGCGGAAUGUGUAAUGUAGCGGUGAAAUGCUUAGAUAUUACACAGAACACCGAUUGCGUAGGCAGCUUACUAAACUAUUACUGACGCUCAGGCACGAAAGCGUGGGUAGCGAACAGGAUUAGAUACCCUGGUAGUCCACGCCGUAAACGAUGAUCACUAGCUGUUGGCAGCACAUAGUCAGUGGCAAAGCGAAAGCAUUAAGUGAUCCACCUGGGGAGUACGCUCGCAAGAGUGAAACUCAAAGGAAUUGACGGGGGCCCGCACAAGCGGUGGAACAUGUGGUUUAAUUCGAUGAUACGCGAGGAACCUUACCUGGGCUUAAAUGCAUAACGACGUAGUGGGAAACCAUUGCUCCCUUCGGGGCGUUUUGCAAGGUGCUGCAUGGUUGUCGUCAGCUCGUGCCGUGAGGUGUCGGGUUAAGUCCCAUAACGAGCGCAACCCCUAUCGUUAGUUGCUAGCAGGUAAUGCUGAGGACUCUAGCGAAACUGCCGGUGUAAACCGAGAGGAAGGUGGGGAUGACGUCAAAUCAGCACGGCCCUUAUGUCCUGGGCUACACACGUGUUACAAUGGUCGGUACAGAGGGCAGCUACCUGGUGACAGGAUGCUAAUCUCGAAAGCCGGUCACAGUUCGGAUUGAAGUCUGCAACUCGACUUCAUGAAGCUGGAAUCGCUAGUAAUCGCGUAUCAGCAAUGACGCGGUGAAUACGUU
rnacentral:rRNA from 1 species